rnacentral:rRNA from 1 species
AAUUGGAGGGCAAGUCUGGUGCCAGCAGCCGCGGUAAUUCCAGCUCCAAUAGCGUAUAUUAAAGUUGUUGCAGUUAAAAAGCUCGUAGUUGAAUUUCGGGAUUGGCGCAUCGGUCGUGCCUUACGGGGUAUGAACUGGUGCAGUCAAUUUCUCACCUUCUGGAGAACCGCGAUGUCCUUAAUUGGGUGCCGCGGGGAACCAGGACCUUUACUUUGAAAAAAUUAGAGUGUUUAAAGCAGGCAUUUUUGCUUGAAUACAUUAGCAUGGAAUAAUAAAAUAGGACGGCAUGGUUCUAUUUUGUUGGUUUCUAGGACCACCGUAAUGAUUAAUAGGGAUAGUUGGGGGCAUUAGUAUUCAAUCGUCAGAGGUGAAAUUCUUGGAUUUAUUGAAGACUAACUACUGCGAAAGCAUUUGCCAAGGAUGUUUUCAUUAAUCAAGAACGAAAGUUAGGGGAUCGAAGACGAUCAGAUACCGUCGUAGUCUUAACCAUAAACUAUGCCGACUAGGAAUCAGACGAUGUUAAUUUUUUAAUGACUCGUUUGGCACCUUACGGGAAACCAAAGUGU